rnacentral:misc_RNA from 1 species
UCCGUGUUAACCACGGCAGUCUCUCUAGAGAGCCCAACUGAAUGCUGGCAACUAAAGAUAAGGGUUGCGCUCGUUGCGGGACUUAACCCAACAUGUCACCACACGAGCUGACGACAGCCAUGCAGCACCUGUCUCCUGGUCGGAUUGCUCCGAACCCUGUGUCUCCACAGGUAGCCAGGGAUGUCAAACCCAGGUAAGGUUCUUCGCGUUGCUUCGAAUUAAACCACAUGAUCCACCGCUUGUGCGGGCCCCCGUCAAUUCCUUUGAGUUUUAGUCUUGCGACCGUACUUCCCAGGCGGGGUACUUAUUGCGUUAGCUCCGACUCGGCGGGGGUCAAGACCCACCAAGUCUAGUACCCAUCGUUUACAGCGUGGACUAC